rnacentral:rRNA from 1 species
UGGCGCCUAGGGCGCAGCAGUGAGGAAUAUUGGUCAAUGGGCGCGAGCCUGAACCAGCCAAGUAGCGUGAAGGAUGACUGCCCUACGGGUUGUAAACUUCUUUUAUAAAGGAAUAAAGUGAGGCACGUGUGCCUUUUUGUAUGUACUUUAUGAAUAAGGAUCGGCUAACUCCGUGCCAGCAGCCGCGGUAAUACGGAGGAUCCGAGCGUUAUCCGGAUUUAUUGGGUUUAAAGGGAGCGUAGAUGGGUUGUUAAGUCAGUUGUGAAAGUUUGCGGCUCAACCGUAAAAUUGCAAUUGAUACUGGG